rnacentral:rRNA from 1 species
UUGGUGUUUAUAGCAUAAUGGAACCACUCUGAACCAUUCCGAACUCAGAUGUGAAACGUUAUAGCGGCGAUGAUACUAAGGGGGGAGCCCCUUGGAAAAGUAGCUCAAUGCCAA